GAUGAACGCUGGCGGCGUGCCUAAUACAUGCAAGUCGAGCGAACAGACGAGGAGCUUGCUCCUCUGACGUUAGCGGCGGACGGGUGAGUAACACGUGGAUAACCUACCUAUAAGACUGGGAUAACUUCGGGAAACCGGAGCUAAUACCGGAUAAUAUAUUGAACCGCAUGGUUCAAUAGUGAAAGACGGUUUUGCUGUCACUUAUAGAUGGAUCCGCGCCGCAUUAGCUAGUUGGUAAGGUAACGGCUUACCAAGGCAACGAUGCAUAGCCGACCUGAGAGGGUGAUCGGCCACACUGGGACUGAGACACGGUCCAGGCUCCUACGGGAGGCAGCAGGAGGGAAUCUUCCGCAAAGGGCGGAAGCCUGACGGAGCAACGCCGCGUGGGUGAAGAAGGUCUUCGGAUCGUAAAACUCUGUUAUUAGGGAAGAACAAUUGUGUAAGUAACUAUGCACGUCUUGACGGUACCUAAUCAGAAAGCCACGGCUAACUACGUG
rnacentral:rRNA from 1 species